rnacentral:rRNA from 1 species
GGGUUGUGAGGUUAAGCGACUAAGCGUACACGGUGGAUGCCCUGGCAGUCAGAGGCGAUGAAGGGCGUGCUAAUCUGCGAUAAGCGCCGGUAAGGUGAUAUGAACCGUUAUAACCGGCGAUACCCGAAUGGGGAAACCCAGUGUGACUCGUCACACUAUCAUUAACUGAAUCCAUAGGUUAAUGAGGCGAACCGGGGGAACUGAAACAUCUAAGUACCCCGAGGAAAAGAAAUCAACCGAGAUUCCCCCAGUAGCGGCGAGCGAACGGGGAGGAGCCCAGAGCCUGAAUCAGCAUGUGUGUUAGUGGAAGCGUCUGGAAAGGCGCGCGAUACAGGGUGACAGCCCCGUACACAAAAGCGCAUGUGCUGUGAGCUCGAUGAGUAGGGCGGGACACGUGGUAUCCUGUCUGAAUAUGGGGGGACCAUCCUCCAAGGCUAAAUACUCCUGACUGACCGAUAGUGAACCAGUACCGUGAGGGAAAGGCGAAAAGAACCCCGGCGAGGGGAGUGAAAAAGAACCUGAAACCGUGUACGUACAAGCAGUGGGAGCACAGGUUUACCUGUGUGACUGCGUACCUUUUGUAUAAUGGGUCAGCGACUUAUAUUCUGUAGCAAGGUUAACCGAAUAGGGGAGCCGGAGGGAAACCGAGUCUUAAUUGGGCGUUAAGUUGCAGGGUAUAGACCCGAAACCCGGUGAUCUAGCCAUGGGCAGGUUGAAGGUUGGGUAACACUAACUGGAGGACCGAACCGACUAAUGUUGAAAAAUUAGCGGAUGACCUGUGGCUGGGGGUGAAAGGCCAAUCAAACCGGGAGAUAGCUGGUUCUCCCCGAAAGCUAUUUAGGUAGCGCCUCGUGAAUUCAUCUCCGGGGGUAGAGCACUGUUUCGGCUAGGGGGCCAUCCCGGCUUACCAACCCGAUGCAAACUGCGAAUACCGGAGAAUGUUAUCACGGGAGACACACGGCGGGUGCUAACGUCCGUCGUGAAGAGGGAAACAACCCAGACCGCCAGCUAAGGUCCCAAAGUCAUGGUUAAGUGGGAAACGAUGUGGGAAGGCCCAGACAGCCAGGAUGUUGGCUUAGAAGCAGCCAUCAUUUAAAGAAAGCGUAAUAGCUCACUGGUCGAGUCGGCCUGCGCGGAAGAUGUAACGGGGCUAAACCAUGCACCGAAGCUGCGGCAGCGACACUGUGUGUUGUUGGGUAGGGGAGCGUUCUGUAAGCCUGUGAAGGUGGCCUGUGAGGGUUGCUGGAGGUAUCAGAAGUGCGAAUGCUGACAUAAGUAACGAUAAAGCGGGUGAAAAGCCCGCUCGCCGGAAGACCAAGGGUUCCUGUCCAACGUUAAUCGGGGCAGGGUGAGUCGACCCCUAAGGCGAGGCCGAAAGGCGUAGUCGAUGGGAAACAGGUUAAUAUUCCUGUACUUGGUGUUACUGCGAAGGGGGGACGGAGAAGGCUAUGUUGGCCGGGCGACGGUUGUCCCGGUUUAAGCGUGUAGGCUGGUUUUCCAGGCAAAUCCGGAAAAUCAAGGCUGAGGCGUGACGACGAGGCACUACGGUGCUGAAGCAACAAAUGCCCUGCUUCCAGGAAAAGCCUCUAAGCAUCAGGUAACAUCAAAUCGUACCCCAAACCGACACAGGUGGUCAGGUAGAGAAUACCAAGGCGCUUGAGAGAACUCGGGUGAAGGAACUAGGCAAAAUGGUGCCGUAACUUCGGGAGAAGGCACGCUGACACGUAGGUGAAGUGAUUUACUCAUGGAGCUGAAGUCAGUCGAAGAUACCAGCUGGCUGCAACUGUUUAUUAAAAACACAGCACUGUGCAAACACGAAAGUGGACGUAUACGGUGUGACGCCUGCCCGGUGCCGGAAGGUUAAUUGAUGGGGUCAGCGCAAGCGAAGCUCCUGAUCGAAGCCCCGGUAAACGGCGGCCGUAACUAUAACGGUCCUAAGGUAGCGAAAUUCCUUGUCGGGUAAGUUCCGACCUGCACGAAUGGCGUAAUGAUGGCCAGGCUGUCUCCACCCGAGACUCAGUGAAAUUGAACUCGCUGUGAAGAUGCAGUGUACCCGCGGCAAGACGGAAAGACCCCGUGAACCUUUACUAUAGCUUGACACUGAACAUUGAGCCUUGAUGUGUAGGAUAGGUGGGAGGCUUUGAAGCGUGGACGCCAGUCUGCGUGGAGCCGACCUUGAAAUACCACCCUUUAAUGUUUGAUGUUCUAACGUGGACCCGUUACCCGGGUUGCGGACAGUGUCUGGUGGGUAGUUUGACUGGGGCGGUCUCCUCCUAAAGAGUAACGGAGGAGCACGAAGGUUGGCUAAUCCUGGUCGGACAUCAGGAGGUUAGUGCAAUGGCAUAAGCCAGCUUGACUGCGAGCGUGACGGCGCGAGCAGGUGCGAAAGCAGGUCAUAGUGAUCCGGUGGUUCUGAAUGGAAGGGCCAUCGCUCAACGGAUAAAAGGUACUCCGGGGAUAACAGGCUGAUACCGCCCAAGAGUUCAUAUCGACGGCGGUGUUUGGCACCUCGAUGUCGGCUCAUCACAUCCUGGGGCUGAAGUAGGUCCCAAGGGUAUGGCUGUUCGCCAUUUAAAGUGGUACGCGAGCUGGGUUUAGAACGUCGUGAGACAGUUCGGUCCCUAUCUGCCGUGGGCGCUGGAGAACUGAGGGGGGCUGCUCCUAGUACGAGAGGACCGGAGUGGACGCAUCACUGGUGUUCGGGUUGUCAUGCCAAUGGCACUGCCCGGUAGCUAAAUGCGGAAGAGAUAAGUGCUGAAAGCAUCUAAGCACGAAACUUGCCCCGAGAUGAGUUCUCCCUGAGACUUAGAGUCUCCUGAAGGAACGUUGAAGACGACGACGUUGAUAGGCCGGGUGUGUAAGCGCAGCGAUGCGUUGAGCUAACCGGUACUAAUGAACCGUGAGGCUUAACCUUACAACGCCGAAG